rnacentral:rRNA from 1 species
GACAGAGGAUGCAAGCGUUAUCCGGAAUGAUUGGGCGUAAAGCGUCUGUAGGUGGCUUUUUAAGUCCGCCGUCAAAUCCCAGGGCUCAACCCUGGACAGGCGGUGGAAACUACCAAGCUGGAGUACGGUAGGGGCAGAGGGAAUUUCCGGUGGAGCGGUGAAAUGCGUAGAUAUGCGGAGGAACACCGAUGGCGAAGGCAAUCCCCUGGGCCUGCACUGACGCUCAUGCACGAAAGCGUGGGGAGCAAACAGGA